AGAGUUUGAUCCUGGCUCAGGAUGAACGCUGGCGGCAUGCCUAAUACAUGCAAGUCGAACGAAGUCUCUAGGAAGCUUGCUUCCAAAGAGACUUAGUGGCGAACGGGUGAGUAACACGUAGGUAACCUGCCCAUGUGUCUGGGAUAACUGCUGGAAACGGUAGCUAAAACCGGAUAGGUAUACGGAGCGCAUGCUCUGUAUAUUAAAGCACCCCUCAAGGUGUGAACAUGGAUGGACCUGCGGCGCAUUAGCUAGUUGGUGAGGUAACGGCCCACCAAGGCGAUGAUGCGUAGCCGGCCUGAGAGGGUAAACGGCCACAUUGGGACUGAGACACGGCCCAAACUCCUACGGGAGGCAGCAGUAGGGAAUUUUCGUCAAUGGGGGGAACCCUGAACGAGCAAUGCCGCGUGAGUGAAGAAGGUCUUCGGAUCGUAAAGCUCUGUUGUAAGUGAAGAACGGCUCAUAGAGGAAAUGCUAUGGGAGUGACGGUAGCUUACCAGAAAGCCACGGCUAACUACGUGCCAGCAGCCGCGGUAAUACGUAGGUGGCAAGCGUUAUCCGGAAUCAUUGGGCGUAAAGGGUGCGUAGGUGGCGUACUAAGUCUGUAGUAAAAGGCAAUGGCUCAACCAUUGUAAGCUAUGGAAACUGGUAGGCUAGAGUGCAGAAGAGGGCGAUGGAAUUCCAUGUGUAGCGGUAAAAUGCGUAGAUAUAUGGAGGAACACCAGUGGCGAAGGCGGUCGCCUGGUCUGUAACUGACACUGAGGCACGAAAGCGUGGGGAGCAAAUAGGAUUAGAUACCCUAGUAGUCCACGCCGUAAACGAUGAGAACUAAGUGUUGGAGGAAUUCAGUGCUGCAGUUAACGCAAUAAGUUCUCCGCCUGGGGAGUAUGCACGCAAGUGUGAAACUCAAAGGAAUUGACGGGGGCCCGCACAAGCGGUGGAGUAUGUGGUUUAA
rnacentral:rRNA from 1 species